rnacentral:rRNA from 1 species
GACGAACGCUGGCGGCGUGCCUAAUACAUGCAAGUGGAACGCAUUGGUAACACCGGACUUGCUCCAGUGUUACUAAUGAGUCGCGAACGGGUGAGUAACGCGUAGGUAACCUGCCUGAUAGCGGGGGAUAACUAUUGGAAACGAUAGCUAAUACCGCAUAAGAGGAGUUAACUCAUGUUAACUGUUUAAAAGAAGCAACGGCUUCACUAUCAGAUGGACCUGCGUUGUAUUAGCUAGUAGGUAGGGUAACGGCCUACCUAGGCAACGAUACAUAGCCGACCUGAGAGGGUGAACGGCCACACUGGGACUGAGACACGGCCCAGACUCCUACGGGAGGCAGCAGUAGGGAAUCUUCGGCAAUGGACGCAAGUCUGACCGAGCAACGCCGCGUGAGUGAAGACGGUUUUCGGAUCGUAAAGCUCUGUUGUAGGGGAAGAACGUGUGUAAGAGUGGAAAGCUUACACAGUGACG